GCUCCGGUAGCUCAGUGGAUAGAGCAGUAGCCUUCUAAGCUAUUGGUCGUUGGUUCGAUUCCAACCCGGAGCA
rnacentral:tRNA from 1 species